rnacentral:sRNA from 1 species
GUUGUUCGUUUGAUCGCCGCAUCUAUUUG